CAGUCGCCGCGGUAAUACAGAGGAUGCAAGCGUUAUCCGGAAUGAUUGGGUGUAAAGCGUCUGUAGGUGGCUUUUCAAGUCCGCCAUCAAAUCCCCGGGCUCAACCCCGGACAGGCAGUGGAAACUACCAAGCUGGAGUACGGUAGGGGCAGAGGGAAUUUCCGGUGGAGAGGUGAAAUGCGUUGAGAUUGGAAAGAACACCAACGGUGAAAGCGCUCUGCUGGGCCGACACUGACACUGAGAGACGAAAUCUAGGGGAGCAAAUGGGAUUAGAUACCCCUGUAGUCCCUGUCUCUUAUAC
rnacentral:rRNA from 1 species